rnacentral:rRNA from 1 species
CCUACGGGAGGCAGCAGUGAGGAAUAUUGGUCAAUGGACGCAAGUCUGAACCAGCCAUGCCGCGUGCAGGAAGGCGGCUCUAUGAGUUGUAAACUGCUUUUGUACGAGGGUAAACGCAGAUACGCGUAUCUGUCUGAAAGUAUCGUACGAAUAAGGAUCGGCUAACUCCGUGCCAGCAGCCGCGGUAAUACGGAGGAUUCAAGCGUUAUCCGGAUUUAUUGGGUUUAAAGGGUGCGUAGGCGGUCGGAUAAGUUAGAGGUGAAAUCCCGAGGCUCAACUUCGGAAUUGCCUCUGAUACUGUUCGGCGAGAGAGUAGUUGCGGUAGGCGGAAUGUAUGGUGUAGCGGUGAAAUGCUUAGAGAUCAUACAGAACACCGAUUGCGAAGGCAGCUUACCAAGCUACUUCUGACGUUGAGGCACGAAAGCGUGGGGAGCAAACAGGAUUAGAUACCCGGGUAGUC